GUGGGGCUAUUUAUUGCUUUUGGCCUCAGCUUAUAUCAAUAUAGAUGCUUAGAAUACCUCGUAUCAGCAUAAAGGAGCUCAUAUCAGGGUCAGCUCAUAUAAAGGUAGCUCUUCACAGCAUAUCUCUUUACAGCAUAGUCAUAGCCCAUAGAGCUGUAAAUCUGAGGCAUUCAUGAUACCACUGUAACAAAGACUAACCCUCUGGAGACCC
rnacentral:lncRNA from 1 species